UGAUGGAUGGACCGGAAGGCCAAAUGUGAAAGUGAAGUAGGCCAUUGGUGGAUGCUGGGAGAGGAAUGGUGCAAACCAAGAAAUUUAAAAGGGAAAAAAAUCUGGCUGGUCUCCAGACAGGGGCAGAAGUAUUACAGAGAAUCCAAGAAGUAAGAAGGAGCCACUACAGUUCUCACAGCUGGUCUGAGGAUGACGAAAAGCACUUGCCAUUAAUGGAGAACGUGAUGGCACAUAAUCAAAACAAAUGAGACAGUGGCAGAAAGAUGGAAGCAGGAAAAAAGGGGAAGCUGAAACAAAUGUCUACCUUGCAAUGUGGCAAUUCCACAGCUCCUGUUGUUUACUAGUGAAUAGAUCCCUACUCAGAGUGAUUGGGAGGCACUACCUUGGGUUUUACAGGUGUGUCAAACUAGCAACCCUUGGGCUGGAUGCAUCAUGCGCAGGCCACGCUCACCCAAGCUCCGCAAAGGCAAAAAUGUUGUGAUACAUCACAUGACAUCACGUGACACGAUCGAGUUUGACACCCAUGAUCUAUUUAUUUGUUUGUUUGUUUUAGGUUUAUGGACCGUUCCGAUCAAUAGAUUCUUCCCAAAAGAAAUCAAUAUGCCCAAUGCACCUAUCUCCAUCCAGAGGUGUUCAUUAGCUAAUCAAAAUGAUGACACAUGUAUCAUGCUGCCAUUUUGUGCAUGAAAUAGUUAAUACCAGUUGCUUUAACAUAAUCAUGUUAUUCUCACAAUAACAUCAUGUGCUAUGUUGUUACCUCCCCACUGCCUAUACCCCUCCCUUCAUGUAAUAGCUACAUGCCCUUUUUUUCCUUCUAUUGUUUGAGUUGACUAAACAAAAAGGCAAGUAUGCAGGAAUCUCAUAUUUAAUGUGACCUUUAGUAUCUGAGCAAAAUCCAGUCUGUUCCUGCCUUCAGAACCCAAUUUACCAUCAUGUUUUUCACGGAAGAAGUAGCAUACAAACCGGUAUGACUCGAUAUAUUUUUAAAUAAACCGUGCUGUGUGUUUUGAGUAUGGUUCUUGU